rnacentral:rRNA from 1 species
AUGUUGGAGACAAAUACAACAUCAGUGUUGCUGGAAGAGAAUGCCCGUAAGAGAAAGUCGGAUGAUGUGGGAUGGGAGUAUGGGAGUCUAGCCGAUGUUUCCAAGAAGGACAAAGUGAAGUGUUUGUUUUGUAACCAUGUGAUCAUUGGAGGUGUUUAUCAUCACAAGCAGCAUGUGGCUCACGUUGGUAAUUUUGUGGCUAAAUGCAAGAAAAGCUUGCAGGAAGCUAAAGAUAGGUGCAAGAAAUCUCUUGAGGAGGCAUCUAAGAAGAGGAGGGAAAAGACUUCCCGUGAUCUAGAGCUCAGAGAAGGCGUGAAUAUUUCUUGUGUUGGAGAUGCUUAA